rnacentral:rRNA from 1 species
GAUGAACGCUGACAGAAUGCUUAACACAUGCAAGUCCACUUGAACUUCGGUUUGGGUGGCGGACGGGUGAGUAACGCGUAAAGAACUUGCCUCACAGAUAGGGACAACAUUUGGAAACGAAUGCUAAUACCUGAUAUUAUGAUUAUAUGGCAUCGUAUAAUUAUGAAAGCUAUAUGCGCUGUGAGAGAGCUUUGCGUCCCAUUAGCUAGUUGGAGAGGUAACGGCUCACCAAGGCGAUGAUGGGUAGCCGGCCUGAGAGGGUGAUCGGCCACAAGGGGACUGAGACACGGCCCUUACUCCUACGGGAGGCAGCAGUGGGGAAUAUUGGACAAUGGACCAAGAGUCUGAUCCAGCAAUUCUGUGUGCACGAUGAAGUUUUUCGGAAUGUAAAGUGCUUUCAGUUGGGAAGAAAAAAAUGACGGUACCAACAGAAGAAGAGACGGCUAAAUACAUG